ACACGCACCAAGAAGUCAUCAAAGACAGCCCAACUCACAGCCCAUGAGGGACCCUGAGUACUGCCUCUGACCUCUCUAUGGCAAGCCAAAUGGCCAUGGGAAGACCCCAUGGAGUGUCAGAAUGAUGCCGUUGAGGGCAAGGAUUUUAGACCGGUCAUGGAUUCUGCCUGUGCACUGGGCUCUACCACUUUCUAGCUAUCUGGCUACUAGCAAGUUACCUUAACAAUCUAAGUUUCAACCUCCCCAUUCGUGAAAUGGAGAUGAUGUCUUAGUCAUAGAAGUAGCAAGUCUACUGCAUAUCAACAGUGUAGCACUGAGCCUGGCUCUUUAUAAGGAAACAGGCCGAGAGACGCAAGUCAAACAGCAAAGGAUGGUCUGCUGUCUGUCUGACUCCAAUGCCAAUGGUCUUUCCUCUAUAACCUAAAGCAAUAAAACCCCUGCAACAUCUA
rnacentral:lncRNA from 1 species